GUGAGGGGGUGACAGAGUGAGGGAAGGGGAUGACUGGUGACAGAGUGAGGGAGGGGAUGACUGGUGACAGAGUGAGGGAGGGCGUGACUAGUGACAGAAGGAAGGAGGGAGUAGUGACAGAGGGAGGUGGUGACUAGUGACAGAGUGAGGGAGGUGGUGACUAGUGACAGUCACCACCUCCCUCACUCUGUCACUAGUCACCCCUUCCUUCCCUCACUCUGCCACUAGUCACCCCUUCCCUCACUCUGCCACUAGUCACCCCUUCCCUCACUCUGUCACUAGUCACCCCCUCAC